UGCCUUACACAUGCAAGUCGAACGGCAGCGCGGGGCAACCUGGCGGCGAGUGGCGAACGGGUGAGUAAUAUAUCGGAACGUACCCUGGAGUGGGGGAUAACGUAGCGAAAGUUACGCUAAUACCGCAUACGAUCUAAGGAUGAAAGUGGGGGAUCCGCAAGGACCUCAUGCUCGUGGAGCGGCCGAUAUCUGAUUAGCUAGUUGGUAGGGUAAAAGCCUACCAAGGCAUCGAUCAGUAGCUGGUCUGAGAGGACGACCAGCCACACUGGAACUGAGACACGGUCCAGACUCCUACGGGAGGCAGCAGUGGGGAAUUUUGGACAAUGGGGGAAACCCUGAUCCAGCCAUGCCGCGUGCGGGAAGAAGGCCUUCGGGUUGUAAACCGCUUUUGGUCGGAAAGAAAAGGCGCACCCUAAUACGGGGCGUUCUUGACGGUACCGGCAGAAUAAGCACCGGCUAACUACGUGCCAGCAGCCGCGGUAAUACGUAGGGUGCGAGCGUUAAUCGGAAUUACUGGGCGUAAAGCGUGCGCAGGCGGUUCUCCAAGUCCGUUGUGAAAGCCCCGGGCUCAACCUGGGAAUGGCAGUGGAAACUAGGGGACUUGAAUCUGGCAGAGGGGGGUGGAAUUCCACGUGUAGCAGUGAAAUGCGUAGAGAUGUGGAGGAACACCGAUGGCGAAGGCAGCCCCCUGGGCUGAGAUUGACGCUCAGAC
rnacentral:rRNA from 1 species